GACAAAAGAUUUUAUCGUUUGUGUUUAUUAUAUCUUCGUGAAGAUGUGCCGCACGGAAAAGAAAUAAACCCUAAUAGCCUAUGAAUGAUGCGAGAGAGUAUGAAAGGGAAAGAUUGAUCGUGAAAGGGAAGAUGAAAGGAGAGAAGAAGAACCCGGAGAUGGAGGCCGAAACGUCGCUGACUCGCUGAGAAGAAGAGAUCAUCACCACCGUGAAGGUGAAGUAUUGAGAGAGGGAGAUCUGGUUUACGACACUAAGGAGAGGUAGAGAUGACGAAGAAGAAAACGCAGCCAAGAUAAAGUGAACAGGAGAGAGGUCAUCGGAACCUCACCGAAGUACCACCACAGCCACCGGAGGU